rfam:Aspergillus luchuensis DNA, map: 3-4 R, contig: AA1_SCon_026, strain: RIB 2604.
ACGUCUCUUGCCUCGCUCGAUCUCUCGCUCCCCUCGGUUGAUCUUGAGCUGGAUGCAGCCUGUACUAGAUACAGCCUGUACGAGACAAGAAUAAGGCGUAAGCCUUCGACGAUCUUUGAGUACGAUCUUACCCGCAUGCCACGGGUAUCAUCGUAAUUUAUCCGUCGAGACAACA